rnacentral:rRNA from 1 species
UAGGGAAUCUUCCGCAAUGGACGCAAGUCUGACGGAGCAACGCCGCGUGAGUGAAGAAGGUUUUCGGAUCGUAAAACUCUGUUGUUAGAGAAGAACAAGUGCUAGAGUAACUGUUAGCGCCUUGACGGUAUCUAACCAGAAAGCCACGGCUAACUACGUGCCAGCAGCCGCGGUAAUACGUAGGUGGCAAGCGUUGUCCGGAUUUAUUGGGCGUAAAGCGAGCGCAGGCGGUUUGAUAAGUCUGAAGUUAAAGGCUGUGGCUCAACCAUAGUUCGCUUUGGAAACUGUCAAACUUGAGUGCAGAAGGGGAGAGUGGAAUUCCAUGUGUAGCGGUGAAAUGCGUAGAUAUAUGGAGGAACACCGGUGGCGAAAGCGGCUCUCUGGUCUGUAACUGACGCUGAGGCUCGAAAGCGUGGGGAGCGAACAGGAUUAGAUACCCUGGUAGUCCACGCCGUAAACGAUGAGUGCUAGGUGUUGGAUCCUUUCCGGGAUUCAGUGCCGCAGCUAACGCAUUAAGCACUCCGCCUGGGGAGUACGACCGCAAGGUUG